AGACAAGAAAGACUUCUGGUAGUAGCCAAAAUAUCUAAUGGAAAGCUCUUCACUUUAUUAGCUGUGGCACCUCAGCAUAAGGAAUCAGAGCUGUGGAUGGAUCACCUGCAAUCCCACAGAGGGAGGGAGCUCCCCACACCUUCCUACCAUGACAGCCUAAAUGAGCUCUCAGGUUGACAUCGAUUGACGUCAGACUUUAAAAAUGCUUCAAUCAAGAUCUCUAUAAUCCUCGUAAGUAAAACGUCUUUGUUCUGUUUUAUGAUCAAACAUUUCUGAAAAUAGAGCCACCAGCCCCAGCAAGCACUCAGGAUGCUCAGAGGUGAGUUAAGGCACAAUAAAAAACUCAGUAAUCUCCCAAAUCUCCUCAGAGAACACG